UACAGAGGUCCCAAGCGUUGUUCGGAUUCACUGGGCGUAAAGGGUGCGUAGGCGGUCGGGUAAGUCUGACGUGAAAUCUCCAAGCUCAACUUGGAAAUGGCGUCGGAUACUAUUCGGCUGGAGGAAUGGAGGGGAGACUGGAAUUCUCGGUGUAGCAGUGAAAUGCGUAGAUAUCGAGAGGAACACCAGUGGCGAAGGCGAGUCUCUGGACAGUUCCUGACGCUGAGGCACGAAGGUCAGGGGAGCAAACGGG
rnacentral:rRNA from 1 species